rnacentral:rRNA from 1 species
AACGAACGCUGGCGGCACGCCUAACACAUGCAAGUCGAACGAGACCUUCGGGUCUAGUGGCGCACGGGUGCGUAACGCGUGGGAACCUGCCCUUAGGUUCGGAAUAACUCCCCGAAAGGGGUGCUAAUACCGGAUAAUGUCUUCGGACCAAAGAUUUAUCGCCUUUGGAUGGGCCCGCGUUGGAUUAGCUAGUUGGUAGGGUAAAAGCCUACCAAGGCGACGAUCCAUAGCUGGUCUGAGAGGAUGAUCAGCCACACUGGGACUGAGACACGGCCCAGACGGCUACGGAGGGCAGCAGAAGGGAAUCUUCCGCAAGGGGCGAAAGCGUGACAGAGCAAAGCCGCGUGAGUGAUGAAGGUGUUCGGAUCUGAAAACUCUGUGAUUAGGGAAGAAAAAAUGGGUAAGUAACUAGGCACGCCUGGACGGUACCUAAUCAGAAAGCCACGGCUACCUACGUG